UGGGGAAUAUUGCACAAUGGGGGAAACCCUGAUGCAGCGACGCCGCGUGAGCGAAGAAGGUUUUCGAAUCGUAAAGCUCUGUCCUAUGGGAAGAUAAUGACGGUACCAUAGGAGGAAGCCCCGGCUAACUACGUGCCAGCAGCCGCGGUAAUACGUAGGGGGCAAGCGUUGUCCGGAAUCACUGGGCGUAAAGGGUUCGCAGGCGGAAAUGCAAGUCAGUUGUGAAAGGCAGAGGCUCAACCUCUGUAAGCAAUUGAAACUGUAUCUCUUGAGAUGUGGAGAGGCAAGUGGAAUUCCUAGUGUAGCGGUGAAAUGCGUAGAUAUUAGGAAGAAUACCGGUGGCGAAGGCGACUUGCUGGACACAAACUGACGCUGAGGAACGAAAGCGUGGGUAGCAAACAGG
rnacentral:rRNA from 1 species